GAACGAACGCUGGCGGCAUGCUAACACAUGCAAGUCGAACGAGACCUUCGGGUCUAGUGGCGCACGGGUGCGUAACACGUGGGAAUUUGCCUCGGGGUAUGGAAUAACUCAGGGAAACUUGAGCUAAUACCAUAUAAUGUCUUCGGACCAAAGAUUUAUCGCCCUGAGAUAAGCCCGCGUAGGAUUAGCUAGUUGGUGGGGUAAAGGCUCACCAAGGCGACGAUCCUUAGCUGGUCUGAGAGGAUGAUCAGCCACACUGGGACUGAGACACGGCCCAGACUCCUACGGGAGGCAGCAGUGGGGAAUAUUGGACAAUGGGCGAAAGCCUGAUCCAGCAAUGCCGCGUGAGUGAUGAAGGCCUUAGGGUUGUAAAGCUCUUUUGUCCGGGAAGAUAAUGACUGUACCGGAAGAAUAAGCCCCGGCUAACUUCGUG
rnacentral:rRNA from 1 species